GGAAGGUGGUGGCGCGGGGAAGGGCGCGUGGCGGCACCGGGGGUGUCAGUCACGGCCCAUCUGUCCAGCAUCGAACACAUCUAUGGACAUAGUUGCUGUAACGAUCGUCGGUUCGAGUGUCGUACGAAAAAUGAAGUCGCAUCAGUCACGAUUUUCUUUGACUGGAAUGUAGACGUCUACGAUAUAUCGAAUGGAAGAAGAAAGAUAACGAUCGUCGUGAAAGAUAGUGUGAGAGAGAGAGAGUGUGAGAGAGAGUGAAAGAGAGAGAAAGAAAGUUAGAGUGAUUGUUAAAGUGAUCGAUUACGUGAAACAUCGUUCGAGUGGCGGCUAUUCGGUCGCGCGUGUCAAACCAAAUGUUUCCCAACGGUUUGCUGCUUGCAACCUUUUUACAAAACGUAAAAAAAGAAAACGAAAAGUGGAAAGUAAUAAUAUCGGGAUACUCUCGUGCAUUUAUUCAACGAUAAAAAAAAAAAAAAA